ensembl:snoRNA
UGACACAUGGGCUGUCCAAAACAGUCCUCUGUGGCUACACUGACACAUAGGUGAUCCUUCCAUCACAGCAAGUUUACUGCAGUGGUGACCAUGAGACCUAUAACAUUU